AUUGAACGCUGGCGGCAGGCCUAACACAUGCAAGUCGAGCGGAGCGGCGGACGGGUGAGUAAUGCCUAGGAAUCUGCCUGGUCGAGGGGGAUAACGUUCGGAAACGGACGCUAAUACCGCAUACUAUCAGAUGAGCCUAGGUCGGAUUAGCUAGUUGGUGAGGUAAUGGCUAACCAAGGCGACGAUCCGUAACUGGUCUGAGAGGAUGAUCAGUCACACUGGAACUGAGACACGGUCCAGACUCCUACGGGAGGCAGCAGUGGGGAAUAUUGGACAAUGGGCGAAAGCCUGAUCCAGCCAUGCCGCGUGUAUGAAGAAGGUCUUCGGAUUGUAAAGCACUUUAAGUUGGGAGGCGUUACCGACAGAAGAAGCACCGGCUAACUCUGUGCCAGCCGCCGCGGUAAUUC
rnacentral:rRNA from 1 species